CAGGACUUUUACUGGAAAUUCUGAAACAUGGGCCCUCUGUUUCUCCAGCAAACAUGGUGUGCAGAAGCAGUGCCAGGAACUGCUGCAGUGAUUUUGCUGCCACGUGGCAAGGCAGCCUGAGUACACAAUCGUCACACUGACAAGGUCAGAUCUUACACCCUCACAGAUAGCCAGCCUUCUGAUUGAGCCUGUCACCUGUCCAGUAAUUCCUCUUUAUUGUUUCAUCAUCUCAGGCCAAGAGAGACACUGGCUACUUUGACCGCUUUAAAGUGGACUCCAGGAAUGUCAACAAGAGCCUGCUGUUUUGCAAUCAAAUCCAGCAACGGAAACUUCACUGUUUUCUGCAGUAAAGUUCAAGCAAUCAUCACUGGACUGCACAAGACCUACUGUUCUGGUAUAGGAGAUACAGUGGUGAACUCUUUGACCUCAGGGACUUUCUAAGUGAGGAGACAGAUGUUAUAAUAUCGGACAGAAACAAGUUUUACAAGCAAAUAACUGCAUAGCAUGUUCCUGCGGCCAUGUUAACCUACCUAAGUGGAGACACCAAGCUGGCAUAGCAGCUGCGAUUGGAGAUGUGACUUAGUGGGGUAUGGAGCAGUCUACAGUCACUUCCCAGAAUCCUUCCAGUUUCUGCAGGGGUGACAGCGGUGACUUAAACUGAGAUAUGAUGUUAAGCAAACCUUUUGUUGGGUACCUAUUUUGCCCCUUGGGACACCAUCUUCAAUUGGCCAUCCCUGCAACUCUGAGAGUCAAAUGCUCUUGACUGCCUCUCUUACCUGGCUUCCAGUGACUGAAUGCCAUCACCUGGCCUCUACUCUUAUGAAGGAAUCCUGCUCGGUGACCAGGUAUUGGCCUACAGAACAGAGCCAUCACUGGACCUCCUAGCGAUGCUGCUGUUCCUCGCUGGCCAGCACAUUCUGAAUUGCCUAGGUGAACGGUGUGUUCUCUGGUGUUCUUCUGGCCUCACU